rnacentral:lncRNA from 1 species
CGUGGUCAAUGAAGUUGAUUGUUCACUGAGGAGUUUAUGGACAUCUAAGAGUAUAAAUAGAGAUGCUCCCACCAAAGAUAUACUCUCUCUACAUGUUUUAACCAAGCCAAAAAACAUCUUAGAGGUAGGGGAAUUGUUAAAUCUAACCAAUAAGUAACGAAAGUGAUUUAUAUAUAGAUUUAACAAUUUCUUUAUUGGCAAGGUAUGCGGAGAGGGUAUAUCUUUAGUGGGGAUAUCAAGAAUGAUGCUCUUGGAUGUCCAACUAAACUGAUGCGUGGUCAUGUGUUUGGACCAAACAAAAGGAAGAUAAUUCUUAUCUACAUUGGUAACAGGCGAUUCCCCUGAAGAGCAAUGUUAGUAAACAUUGAAUUUAAAUGUAAAAUGUUAGGAAACAAUUUGAAAAACAAACGCAUCAAACAUGCAAAACUCACCUGGAAGUGCCGUAUUAGAUGGGUCUUAGCCAAGUUCGAAGCGAAUCCAAAUUGGGCAAAAAAUUUCUGAAAUAAAAAACCAAAGCACAUGAGAUACUAACAAAAGUCAUCCAAAAAAACAUGGAAAAUCAAAACCUUGUGCGGCAACAAACAUGUAGACCGGAUUCAUAAUGGUUUCGUAAGGGGAGUUAGUAUGAUGAAACAUCAUUUGAUAAUUUAAAAAGUGAAAUAGUUUAAAACACUGAACGCUUGAAAAUAAAAAGGAAUUAAUCUAACUUGAAUAAACAGGAAUCAACUUUCACAGAUAGGAAAAUAUUGAGUUUUUACCUGCUAGUCUAGCCAUAGUAACGAAGACUACAGCUCUUAUUCAAAGAUCAAUUCUUUUUCCAAUAGAAAACUGUACGUUAAGACAAAUUUAUUCAAUUAGAAUGAAGCUAAUGAGAUUAAAGCCAAAAUUUAAAACUAAGGGUGAAAAUGGAUUUGACAGCCACAAAAAUUGAUGAUAGGAUAGGUUACUUGGUAAAGUAGAAGGAUUUUGAAAGCUGUAGACAAAAGCCAUAUAAAAUGGAGACCAACGUCUGUUGAAACAGAAAAGAGAAUUAAAUUACGUAUUUGAAUGAUAAAUCUAAUGAUAUAAACAAAAGAUCUAAAACUAUGUAAAACGUUAUGUAUCCAUUAAUAAAAUUAAGAAUUUUGUUGUAAAUUUUGUAGCACAUCUUUGAAAACUAUAUUUAGAGUAUGGUUGUUCACAUCAUUUUCUACAUAUGUGAUCAAAAUUUUUAAACCUUCUCUUGAUGUGACUCUAGACAAUGCAACAUAUAAUUGAUCAUGACUGAAAACAAGUUUGGGAAGAUAUAGUCCAACUUGUUUUAAAGAUUGUCCUUGACUUUUAUUAAUGGUCAUUGCAUAACAUGGCCUAACUGGAAAUUGAAGUCUUUUAAAAAUGAAAGACCACUUGUUUUCAGUUGCUGUAAGAGUGAUUCUUGGUAUGAAUACUUUGUGACCAACAUUAUUUCCAGUAAGUAUCUUAGCUUCAAUAAUUCUAGGAAAUAACUGUGUGACAAUUAAUCUAGUUCCAUUACAUAAACCAUAAGAUUGAUUUAAAUUUUGCAACAACAUAAUUGGCAUUCCUAUUUUUAAAAUUAAAUUAUGUGUAGGUAAACCAUUGAAAUCAAGCGUAUUUAAAAAUUCUGUAGGAUACAUUAUGUCAAGAUUCUCAACAUUUCCACUUGAGGAACACAAAGAAUCGUAGCUUAAAAAUGUAUGUUGUUCUCCAGGUAACAAAUUGGUUAUAUAAUUGUUUAUUUCUGUUACUGUUGUAUUCCGAGGUGUAACAAUAGCUCGUUCUCUUAAGUAAACAAAAUUGUGAAACAAAUUUUUAAAAUUAGGAUAAGUUGCUUCAAAAAUUGAAGAAAUUGGGUGACACACCCCGUCCCGAAGGAGGGCAUGCUGGCCGUCACGUGAGAGUGACGUAACCAUUUGCACAGUACGGAAGCUUUAAGAUACAAUUUAAAUUGAUACACCCGAAGGUGAGUCCUAAUUUUGUCCAAUCUGUCAGAACACCGUCGAAUUCCUCGUAGUCACCACACCUUUGUGAUUCCUGAACCUGGAGGGGCGCAAAACCAAAAUUGAGUGGGUCAGUAAAACAAUUCUUUUCCAAAUCCAAACAUUUCUCAAAACGUUGUAACCCCUCUCCGUAAAACCUGUAUACUUUCCCAGAAAUGUAAAAUAUAAUUAUACAUAUAUAUUCUCAAUACUUCAAUUCAUUACUCCACAUUUUUCAGUACAAAUAUGCCAUGCCAUAUCGGAAUUCAUCAGUUAAGUAUGAAUGCAUCAACAGUAAUUAUAUCAGGUGCAAGAAGUAAUCAACCGGAGGCCCUCUAAUAGCCCUGUACGGUUGAACCUAGAGCUCAAAAUCUAUCACUCUCACUCUGCCGGAGUCACCUCUGUGACCUGUACGGCCUUCUGCACACAAGUUACGCUCUAGUGCUUCUCUCAUCAAUCAUCUGUGCACAUAAUCUAAGGUCACCUACCAGUCGGAACCCCUCUAACGGUCUGUACGACUGGCAUGUCGGAACCACCCCCGGUGGUCUGUACGACUAGCAUCUACUUGGAUCCAAGGCGAGCGUGCGAUGCGGUGAAUACUAUAAGCACUAAACUAUGGUGCAGGAUUUGAGCUCAAUAUACAUCAUCAUCAUAACAGUAAUUAAAUAUUCAUCUGUGCGUCCACCGCACCAUUUCAUACAUAUGCACCAUAAAUCAAUUCUUACCUGUGCGUCCACCGCACCAAUUCAUACAUAUGCACCAUAAAUCAAUUCUUACAUGUGCGUCCACCGCACCAAUUCAUACAUAUGCAUCAUAAAUCAAUUCUUACCUGUGCGUCCACCGCACCAAUUCAUACAUAUGCAUCAUAAAUCAAUUCUUACAUGUGCGUCCACCGCACCAAUUCAUACAUAUGCAUCAUAAAUCAAUUCUUACCUGUGCGUCCACCGCACCAAUUCAUACAUAUGCAUCAUAUAUUAAUUCAUGCAUGGCAUUUCAACUCACAUUUCUAUAUACUUUUCAUAUCAAUUCUAUGCAUGGUAUUUCACUUCCCGUUUUUUCCACAUAACUCAUAUGCAUUUCAUUUUAAACAUAUUUUCAUUUCAAUUCAAUUUCUGGGAAACGUCAAGUAUAUAUAUAUAUAUAUACGGAAAACAAAACUGCCCACUCACCUGGAGUUCGUCCAACAACUCCCUAGCACCACACAUCAAGGCGUCAUGACGAUCGCCGCCUAGAAUAGUAAUCAAAUCCAGGCUCAGAAUUCAUAUCGAUAGAAUACAUAACUUAUAUAAAAAUACGUCACUACGUAGAUUGAUCCGGAAGAUCCACCCCUCAGAUUUUAAAUCCAUAACUUCUAGAGGUCCACAUUAUACCUCUAGGACAACAUCCUAAAAUUUCAUUACCAUCCAACGGUCGGAUCUCCGUCAAUUUCCAAAACUAAGUGACGGUUAACAUUUUAUAUUAUGGACUUACAAUUCCAAUUCCGGAAGAUCCGUAACUCGGAUUCCCAAUCCGUAAGUUCCAAUAGUCCUUAAAUAUUACGUAUUACAACGUAUCAAAGUUUGGUGACGAUCCAACGGUCGGAUCAUCAAUUCACAUUUUCACCAAAACUAUAAAACGUUAUUCGAACACCUAACCAACAAUCCUCAAUAACUUUCUCAUACGGUGUUCAAUUUAGGUAUAUGAAUAUACCACAGUGAUCUACUCGACGUCACGGACGUCGACAUAUUUUUAAAAUAUUUUUAUUUUUAUUUUUUAUUUUACUGUAGCACCAUCUUCUUCCUUGGGUCGCCGGACUGGUUUUUCCGGCGGCCGUUUUCCGGGCAGUUUUUCAAAUUGCCAUAACUUUGUCAUUUCUCAACGAAAUCAAGUGAUUCAAAAACGAAAGUUGUAGCCCUUGAAGAGACAAAGAGAAUGGUACCUUUCCCAACACCUAGUUCGCCGUAGUUUGGCCGGAAACUGCCUCGAAAGCCUCGGAGGUCGCCGGAAACUGGGUAUUUUUCAAAUGAGUAUAACUUCUUCAAUACUCAACGAAAUUGAGUGAAACAAAAGGGAAAGUUGUAGUACUUGACGAGACGAAGAGAUUGAUACCUACCUUGACUCCUAACUCGCCGGGGAUUCGCCGGAAAAUGCCUCGAAAGCUCCGGCCAAACUUUGAACUCGUCGAUCUCCGUGUUCUUUCGUCCAAAAACUUCCAACGAAGCACUCCGAGCUUCCUUGGGACCUCACUAAGCUCGCUGUGAUCUUGUUUUAGCCUAAAACGUAGUUAUUAAAAGAUGAUGAACAGUGCUCUUCCACGGGGAGUUUAGAAUCUAGGUUUUCCGAAGUAAAACUUACCUGAAAUUGGUGUCUACGUGAUCGUGGAGUCUCCAGGAGUUCGAUGGUGGUCUUAACUCCGUCGUUGGUGGAAGUUUAAGGUUGUUUUGUGGUUGGUUUGUUCGAACGGAGAAGAAGAGUGACAGAGAGAGAGAGAUUCGUGAGGGAGGAGAGAGAGAGACAGUAUGCAGAAAAUAGGGAGAGGAUUGAGGGAUGUGGGGAUCCCUCGUGGUCCUUUUCCAAUCCCCAACUCCAAACCACAAAAUUUUAACCUAAAAAUCUAAGUUCCAUCCUUAAUAAAUUCCAUUUUAUUUUCAAAACUUAGGAACCUAGAUAAUUAACAAUUUGAGCUUCACAUACUUAGUAUUUCUUAAGGGCAAUUUCGUCCAUUCACAGCCACGAAUGUAAUAUUUUGGAACGGGCUGUGACAAUCUUCCCUCCUUAUAGAAUUUCGUCCCCGAAAUUCCAGCAACCAACCAAUUCAUCAACACUUAUACCAACCUCGGUAAGUUUCUUUCAUCCGAUUCUUUUUCUCCCACGUAAUUUUCUUCCACUGAAUGAUUCCUUCACAAAACUUUUACCAUUUACUCUAUCUUAACUCUCAGGACCUUCUUUUUCCAAUCCAAAUUCUACUUUUCUAAGGUGAACACUUCUAAAAUAUAAAACCAUUUGCCUUACACACUCGAUUAGUGGCAUAUCCAUCUGUUGAUCUCUUUUGCCAUUCACAAGUCAUCAAAAACCGACUCACGUGACACAUUUCAUGGUCCUUAUGGCGUUACUUCGGAAACUGCACAACCAACAUACUUAAGAAACUUAGCAGUUCCGUAAUCCAAUUCUCUUUUCCAUAAAACAAAUAAGUAAUGUUGCACUGUCUGGGAAAGGUUGUUACUCAACACUGGAGUAAAUGUACUAACUUGUUAUCUAACAAGUAGAGCUUCUUCUCGAUCUCCAGUUCUCAACUUUACUUUAGUUGGUUUCCAAUCCACAAGAAGAUAAUCAUGGCAAGCGUACCAAAUAUUAAUUCUUACUGCAGUCUUCUUAUCAAGUGCUUCAGCUACCACAAUUCACGAUCACCCUGAUCGUACAAUCAUAAUCACUAAGUAAUACAAUUCACUUUCGCUGCCUCAUAUCAAAAUCCUUCCAAGUAAUGGAUAUUGAAGACUUUUUGGAUUCGUAAAAAUCUUGCAUUCUUACCAAAUAUAAUGCCUUCAUAACUUCACAGCAAGAAUGGUAAUCAUGAUUUCUAAGUCACCCGUAGGGUAAUUCAUCUUAUGAGAUUCCAUUUAUCGUGAAACGUAUGCAAUCACCCUAACAUUUGCAUCAACAUGCAUCCAAUACCAUUCAAGAAACAUCACUAAAAAUUUAUGAUUACCACUAUUCUCUGGGAAUACCAAAAUACGUGCAUGAGUGAGGAAAUACUUCAGUUGUUGAAUCCUUUGCUCACAAUUUCCUUCCCACUCAUACAUAACCUCUUUUCUCAACAGUCUCGUCAAUGACAAAGCAAUGACUGAAAAAUCUUUCACAACCAUCCAAGAUAGCUUGGUAAGCUAAGAAAUUCUGAAUCUCAAUUACAGCUCGUGGUUGUUCCAAUUUCUCAAUUUCUGCUAUCUUUUAAGGAUUCACUUGAAUACCUUAAGAAUAUAUAACAAAUCUCAGAAUGCCACCUGAUUCGUCUAACUUUAGCAUUUGCUACUUAGCAUACAACCAACGUUCUCUCAAUCUUUGGUUCACCGACUUAAUACGUUUACAUGCUCUGCUCUGGCUCAGAAUAUGCCAGAAUAUCUUCAAUAAAAAUGAUAUCAAUCUAUCAAGGCAUUAUUGGAAUACUUCAUCCAUCAACUCAUAAAACAGCAUGAGUAUCCAUAUAGCAUCACCAAACUUCAUAAAGACUAUAACGAGUCCAGAAAACCAUCUUAUGAUCAACGUCACUUAUAAUAUUCAAUUGGUAGUAACCAGAUCUCAAUUCAAUCUUUGAAUCUUCGCAAUUACUUCUGAGCUGGUUAAAUAAACAUCAGUACAUCACCAUGGAUAACGGUUCUCAAUCGUUACCCGACUCCAUUGUCUAUAAUCAAUGAACAGUCUCAAGAUCCAUUUUCUUCCUCACCAACAAACUGGUGCUCCUCAACAGUGUUGUACUAGGUUGAAUAAAACUUUUAUCAACCAAUUCUCUCAACUGAAUUUCCAAUUCCCUUAACUCAUCAUGAACCAAUCUCCAAUAUAAAUUUAUACAUGGCAACAAAUCACUAGUGAACCUCAUAUCUCUGCCUGAAGGCAAUCUAGGUAUACUUUCAAGGAAGACAUCAAGAAAAGUCUAACCCCUUUUUGACAUUAUUCACACUACUCCAAACAACAUCAUUUAGCACCACACGAGCUAAUAUUUUGACAGCCUUUCGAAACAAUCUCUUUGCUCUCACAGCAUAAAUAACGGCCUGACUCAAUCCACUUUGCAUACUUACAAAAGUAAUCUCUGGUCAUCCAGAUCGAUGGAAAGUACUGGUUUCCCUUAACAUUCCGUCUUGUUACAAUUAUAACUAACCAAUCUAAUGGAAAUAAUUUAACCGACACAAUACAUACUCUAUUACUACUAAGCAUUCUGAAUAAGUACAAUACUAACAUAAAAUAAUCUACCGGUUUGCUUGCUUAACGAAUCCACGAAUGAGUUAUUAAUAUUACGGUCUGCAGCCCGCAAUACUGAUAAAUCAUCGUUGUCUCGAUAAGUAGGCAACCACUCUCAAAGAUAUAACAUUACUAUUUUGUCACUCAAUGCAAAAUACAUACACUCGUCUCAACUACAUUUAUUUACCACUCUCUAGGUAAUAUCAUACAUAAUAAGAAAUAUAUCAGCCGAAGUCAACUAGAAUGACCAAUACGGUUGAUUCAACUCUUAUCUCAAUAAUACGUCGGCCGGAUCCACUCCGCGUGGUCGGCACGGCCGAGCCUAUAACUCACCAAUUUCUCAUGUGUCAGUCAAAUCCAUCUCUCGUGGCCUGUAUGGCUGAACAUAUAACUCAUCAAAUAUCUCUGUACCCACAGUCAAUCCGACCAAACUACUAAGUCCAUAACUCUGCUGAAUCGACACUAUGAUAUCAUGGAAAAUUAUUGAGUACAACUGAUUCUAGGGACGAUUCACAAUUCUGUGUCCCCUCUGUUCACAUAAACACAUUCAUUAAUUUCACAUUUCCCAAAGUGUUAAUUUUGUACCUGCUGCACAAAGUACAUUUCCUUUACUCGAGACACCUUGUCUCAAAUAUCUGGGAUUACCAGUAUAUCCAUCACUUUUACUCUGACCAGCGACAUUAAAACCUCAGCUGGAAGAAUUAACUCUAGCUUCACUUCUUUCGAAGCUCUGAAUCUUUCUAUCUCCUUGAUAUGACGAAUCAUUAACUUUAUCGUCUUCUUUUAAUUCCCAUUCUUUUCUUAUUCUUCUUUAUUCUCGUUGCUCAUGUUCUCAGAGUCCUCAAGGCUCAACAACAUCUAGCAUACUCCUGAUAAGAACUACAAUGGAUAGUGGUCACCCAAAAUACCACUUCCCUUUUUGCCACCCAGCUUAAAACAACAUAACACCUCCACCAAAUUAACAACAAUAUCUGGAUGGAACGAGGCAAGUCUGAAAACUUUCUAUAAUAUCCCUCGAUCAUCACCUUCCUUGUCUCAUAUUUGUAAACUCUUGUUUACUACCAUCGAUAAAUGCCGGAGGGAUAAACUUUUCCUUAAACAAGUCCUUAAACAAUUUUAAAUCGGCUGUUCCUCCGAUGACAACAAUUAAUAAUCCUGUUUCCACCAGGAUACAAAUUCAUACCCAAAACCAGGUAAUCGUCUCGACCCCCUGUCAGAAGGAAGAUUCCUUUGACUUGCAUAAUCUGAAACAUCUUUACCAAAUGGUUAAACCGUUACUUCGCUCCCUCAGGUUCAUCAUUUCAUAAGGUGAUUCAAAUUCAACUCAUAACCCGUCUUAAAAUGUCCAUUUUGAUAAUAUACUGAAUCACCAUAAUAAUAGUUUCCCCCUAAACCGCUAAAUCAGGGAGACUAAGUUCCUCUAACUAUGUGGCUUGCUACGAGGCGGUGUAGUUCUGACAGAAUUCACUAGAACUUCUCAAAAUGUCCAAGAUUGCAACCAUGCUCUGAUACCAACUGACACACCCCGUCCCGAAGGAGGGCAUGCUGGCCGUCACGUGAGAGUGACGUAACCAUUUGCACAGUACGGAAGCUUUAAGAUACAAUUUAAAUUGAUACACCCGAAGGUGAGUCCUAAUUUUGUCCAAUCUGUCAGAACACCGUCGAAUUCCUCGUAGUCACCACACCUUUGUGAUUCCUGAACCUGGAGGGGCGCAAAACCAAAAUUGAGUGGGUCAGUAAAACAAUUCUUUUCCAAAUCCAAACAUUUCUCAAAACGUUGUAACCCCUCUCCGUAAAACCUGUAUACUUUCCCAGAAAUGUAAAAUAUAAUUAUACAUAUAUAUUCUCAAUACUUCAAUUCAUUACUCCACAUUUUUCAGUACAAAUAUGCCAUGCCAUAUCGGAAUUCAUCAGUUAAGUAUGAAUGCAUCAACAGUAAUUAUAUCAGGUGCAAGAAGUAAUCAACCGGAGGCCCUCUAAUAGCCCUGUACGGUUGAACCUAGAGCUCAAAAUCUAUCACUCUCACUCUGCCGGAGUCACCUCUGUGACCUGUACGGCCUUCUGCACACAAGUUACGCUCUAGUGCUUCUCUCAUCAAUCAUCUGUGCACAUAAUCUAAGGUCACCUACCAGUCGGAACCCCUCUAACGGUCUGUACGACUGGCAUGUCGGAACCACCCCCGGUGGUCUGUACGACUAGCAUCUACUUGGAUCCAAGGCGAGCGUGCGAUGCGGUGAAUACUAUAAGCACUAAACUAUGGUGCAGGAUUUGAGCUCAAUAUACAUCAUCAUCAUAACAGUAAUUAAAUAUUCAUCUGUGCGUCCACCGCACCAUUUCAUACAUAUGCACCAUAAAUCAAUUCUUACCUGUGCGUCCACCGCACCAAUUCAUACAUAUGCACCAUAAAUCAAUUCUUACAUGUGCGUCCACCGCACCAAUUCAUACAUAUGCAUCAUAAAUCAAUUCUUACCUGUGCGUCCACCGCACCAAUUCAUACAUAUGCAUCAUAAAUCAAUUCUUACAUGUGCGUCCACCGCACCAAUUCAUACAUAUGCAUCAUAAAUCAAUUCUUACCUGUGCGUCCACCGCACCAAUUCAUA